CGGGGUGAGUAAUGUCUGGGAAACUGCCUGAUGGAGGGGGAUAACUACUGGAAACGGUAGCUAAUACCGCAUAACGUCGCAAGACCAAAGAGGGGGACCUUCGGGCCUCUUGCCAUCGGAUGUGCCCAGAUGGGAUUAGCUAGUAGGUGGGGUAAUGGCUCACCUAGGCGACGAUCCCUAGCUGGCCUGAGAGGAUGACCAGCCACACUGGAACUGAGACACGGUCCAG
rnacentral:rRNA from 1 species